UGUUCUGUGGCUUAGUUGGUUAAGGUGCCGUUCUAGUGAAUACGGAGUGGUGGGUUUAAAUUCCAUCAGAACGC
rnacentral:tRNA from 1 species